UACGGGGGGGGCAAGCGUUGUUCGGAAUCACUGGGCGUAAAGGGCGCGUAGGCGGAUCUUUAAGUCGGGGGUGAAAGCCUGGGGCUCAACCUCAGAAUUGCCUUCGAUACUGGAGAUCUUGAGACCGGAAGAGGUGAGUGGAACUGCGAGUGUAGAGGUGAAAUUCGUAGAUAUUCGCAAGAACACCAGUGGCGAAGGCGGCUCACUGGUCCGGUUCUGACGCUGAGGCGCGAAAGCGUGGGGAGCAAACAGG
rnacentral:rRNA from 1 species